GUGGGGAAUUUUGGACAAUGGGCGCAAGCCUGAUCCAGCAAUGCCGCGUGCAGGAUGAAGGCCUUCGGGUUGUAAACUGCUUUUGUACGGAGCGAAAAGGCUUCCACUAAUACUGGGGGCUCAUGACGGUACCGUAAGAAUAAGCACCGGCUAACUACGUGCCAGCAGCCGCGGUAAUACGUAGGGUGCAAGCGUUAAUCGGAAUUACUGGGCGUAAAGCGUGCGCAGGCGGUUUUGUAAGACAGGUGUGAAAUCCCCGGGCUUAACCUGGGAACUGCACUUGUGACUGCAAGGCUGGAGUACGGCAGAGGGGGAUGGAAUUCCGCGUGUAGCAGUGAAAUGCGUAGAUAUGCGGAGGAACACCGAUGGCGAAGGCAAUCCCCUGGGCCUGCACUGACGCUCAUGCACGAAAGCGUGGGGAGCAAACAGGAUUAGAUACCCCAGUAGUCC
rnacentral:rRNA from 1 species